UAAAAAUACAGAAUUAAAAAGUGAAAGUACAUAUUAAAGAUUGAUCAAUAGAACUCUUGUACUUUAAACACACGAAUUGAAACCAAACUGUGUAUACGAUUUAGCUUUAGUCAAUUGGAUCAAAUUGGUUUUCUGGAUACGGGCCGAGUGGUGCAAAUGAGGCCCAGUUAGCUUCACGAUCAUCUGCUAUGCGUUUUGACGAUCACACUCUUGUGUGAUUCUUAGGUCACGAGAAAGUAAGAGAUUCCCUCUACAACUGCUACCGUGCGUCUUUCUUCCUCUCAAACUUAAAACCUGCAAAAGUACCAAACUAUUAGCAACAAGAUCUGAGAAAUACACAUAGAUCCAAGCUUAAUCUGACCUUAAUAUGCUACACAAACACACAUAAGAACAUCAAUCGAGACUCUCCCAUAUAAACGAAGUCAAAGAAAAUCAAGCGAAGGUAUCAAGCUCUCGUGGGAUUCCAAACUCGAAACUAAUUUGAUACUCGAUUCAAUUAAAGUAUUGGAUAAAAAAAUUUCAGGCCACACAAAGAAGACUUGUUAGCCAAAUUCCCAAUGAAAUGCUAAAUUACAUAC
rnacentral:lncRNA from 1 species